rnacentral:sRNA from 1 species
GAGUUGUUGACAAAACAGAACCCAUGCCAUCAUAGAUUUACAACCGAGGAAUACAACCAAAAUUUUCAGCAUUGAGCCCUUCCACGUAUCAUCCAAGCCCAUCCAAGAUGAAUGUAAAGAAACUGGUUAACAUUUACUAACAAGAGGAGACAAUGAGAGCCCAACAUAAUUCUUCAUCUCUGGUGAAGGGGAGAGUUGCUAAAUUUGGACGUUUGCAAAAUUCAAGCAAAACAAAGGAAAAGACGGAUGCUAUAAAUGCGGUGUUGGCUUCCCAGUUCAGCACUUUUAAAGAGGAACAAACAUUGCACGUUUGCAACUUCUAAAUGGAAGCAGGGCAUCUAAAAAAUGCUGGAAUCUUCAUCUUAAUGGCAUUAACACCAUUUUCAAGAAUAUCCUGCUGAAAAGACAGUUGUCAUUGUUAUAAUGGAUGCAAGACAACACUAGUGAAAUGAAAUUGUUGUUACCACAAAUGGCACACACCAGGAUUACACACUUUCCAAAAACACAUUUACGGCAUGCAGCUAUAAAGGGAUAUUUUGGAAGUCUAUGUUCUAUAAUGGGGGAAGUUCUCUUGAAGAUUCCAUUAGUAAUAAAAUUAAAACCUUAAAAGUUGGCGUACAGUACAGUAAGCAAAGUGACACACAGACUACUUGAUUGUGUAAAGUACUGUAAUCAAGUGAUGUACAAAAUUAAUGUAACUUCUGUAUUUUAGUGAAACAUUAUUGUAAAGAAUAAAAUACUGCAAAUUUAGAAGUUCAGUUUACUAAAUUCUUAAACUAUAAUAUUUUUUUCAUCAUUUUGAUGUCAAAAUGAAAUAAUUUUAAUAAAUCGGCAUAAUAAAUGAAAAUGCAUACCUGUAAUUUCAGCUUGCAUAUCAGUAUGAAGUGUUAUACGAAUGUACUUAACAAAAUAAAUGUUUUGAUGUUU